ensembl:lncRNA
UCCCUGCCCCUCCCCCUCCAUCCCCCCCCUAUCCUCGCCCUCAACCCGGGCUGAAAACUUCGGCGGCUGACAAGAAAUCAAUGCGUCCGGGCGCCGGGGCUCAGGUAUUGGAUUGCAGGUGGGCCCAGGAGGAGCCCACCACCACCCCCCCCCACUCCCCCCGAGCUGUCCGCUACCGUUAGCCGCUGCGCCGCUGCAGCCGGAGAUGUGAAGUCUUUGGCUGGCGGAUAAAAAUGUCAAGCACUAAUAGGCUCCAUUGUGAUUAGCCGAGACGCAGUCCACAAAUCCUCGGUAGAAAAUCUGUUAGCAGAGAUCUUUACAAGGUCUCCGGCGCCGCCCCGGCUCCUCCUCCUCUCGCCACGCUGCCUUCUUCUUCGCAUUUUCUUUAUUUUUUGUAUGUAUUCUCUUUGCUUCACGAGGGAACGCCGAGGAAUCGCGGUGAUAAAUAUAUAAUCGUCCCAACUUUCCUUCAAAUAGAAACUAGAAAAACGCGGCGCAGAAUAUUCAUGAGCUGCUUUGUUACUCGGGAUCCUGUUUUUAGGGAUUUGUUUUAACGCCCCAAAAGCGCUCUCAGGUAGAAAAUAAUAUCUAUGCUUUUUGGAGGAUUUCUCGCUCUCAGCUGCUUCUUCCCUUUACCUUUUUUUCUUCUUUUAACUGAAAAGUUGAGUGAAUCCGGGCUGAGAGUCCUGACCUCUGAGUGUGAAGGUAUCAGAGAACACGAGAUGAAAAAAAAGAGGCAUCACUUAUUUAGUUAGUAAAGUUUUAUCUCCUGGAGAUGGCUGCUGAACAUUCAAAACAACACCGAGCAGCAACGCGUCUUCAGCUUUCUGACUUCCAACUCCGAUCAGACGUUCCUCCGAUCCCUCGGAGGUCAAAGCCGAUAAAGGGCGGCCAUUUUCUUUUUUAUAAAAACGUUUUAAUGGACGCGGCGGAGGACGUUGGAGAUGUCGCAAAUGUCCUCGUCCGCCUGAGGAACCAUUUGCCGGUGAGGAGAGGUUGAGGUGAGGAGAGGUCGAGGUGAGGUCCGAGGUGAGGUCGAGGUGAGGAGAGGUCGAGCUGAGGAGAGGAGAGGUCGAGGUGAGGAGAGGUCGAGGUGAGGUCGAGCUGAGGAGAGGUCGAGGUCGAGGUGAGGUCGAGCUCUCCUCUCAUCUUUCAUUGCAGUAAAAAAGAGACUUCAUCAGCAACGUAUAACAUAUAAGUCUGGUGCAUUUAAAUACAGAUGUUUAAUCAAAUAAAUAGUUGAGCUCCAGAUGUGCUUUUAUUACACGCUUUACAUUUAAUUAUGCUCUCAGUAGAGUUUGUGUCUGCAGAUGGAAACUGUCCUCUUCUUCCUCUUUGUCAUCUUCUUCCUCAUCUUUUGCUGCUUUGUCUUCAUAUCUUUCUGUUUCGUCAUUCUUCUUCCACCUCUCCUUCUCCUUUCUUCUCUUCUCCUGUCCCGAUGUUGCUCUCAGCGACUGUACAAACUGGACUGAAGCUGAAACGAGCUUGUGUCUACAUUCUGAGUCACAUGAUUCAGAAUAAAAGUCACGAAGGAUCAGCUGUUCUGGUGGAACAGAUGUUCGAUCCCUUCCACUUGUGGUCGGGAUGUUGUUUUAUCUUCUCGCGCUGACGAGGAAAACCAAACCUCGGAGGAGCAAAAGCUCUGAUUAAACAACACACGUGUGUUGGAAGAGACGGAUCAUCAGGUGUGUCGGAUUCCCAAACAUCGCUGAAGGUCAUGAGUUAAAUAAAAAGCUUCAAAUUCCUCCAUGUUUUCUGACAUAUUUCUAUUAAAAGUUUGAAGAAGCCUUGUGAAGACAUUCAUUACAUAAAGCAUAAUAUCAAAUAACCAGGAUGGAUCCUCAGGACUUAUAACACAGAAGAGGACCUUCUCUCCCAGGAACCUUCUCCAACUGGACCUUUCCUAUGUAUAAUUACUAAUAUAUUUAAGUACGGGAGGUUAUGCGUGUGAUAAUAUGCAGGUAGAGGAUGAACAGCAGCAAAACGAAGCGUCGACCCGACCGCGCCGCGAUGACCCGUCCUCGCCGUCACAAACCGCUCACAGAUGUUAUUACAAUACCACGCCUGGUCAGAAUCAAUGUCUCACAUUAUUCCUCCUCCACCCUCCUCCACCCUCCCUCGGUGAGUCCGUGGGCCGGUUGUUUCUCGAUCAAUGCGGCGAGAGAGAGAGAGAGGCGGGCGAGCGGCAGGCCGACCCGAGCAGCGACCCGUCCCACCAUCACCUCGGCCCGACGGGUUCUGUCUACGCGGCGCUACUUUCCCUCCCAAGAUGCACUGCUGCUUUUAAUGAAUUUCCUGUCUUGCGGCCUCAGAAAUGUCAACACUCAAUCAGCUGUAAUUGAAUUCCUGCAGCGGGCCGACGUCUCUUAAAGCAGCGCCAUUAAAACAUUCUUUCUGGAAAACUUACACGGGCUCUUUUUUUCUCCUUCGCUGGCCGUGUCUCGUAAUGUUUCUAACAUCUGUCCGGAGAGCAGGGCGGGGGGAGGAGGGGCUCUGAGUGAGGGGGGAGGGGGGUUAGGUGUUGGACGGAGGUCGACUGACUCGUGUUGUUGCUGAACAUGUUACAUGUGUCCCUGCCACUCCUCUUCUUCUGUGGUUUUAAUUGUAGUUUCCCUGCAGGACUCUCAUUUAUUCAUCGCAAAUGAAGCACCUCAUGCACUGAUGCUUCAUAGUAUUAAGUCAAUAAUCGUUAAUCAACGGCUACUUCAUUUAACCUUAAAAUUGCAACUGCUAUUAUUAUGAUAGGGUCAUAUUAAUAAUAAACGCACGUUAAUCUUAUUCAUAAAGGUAAACAUACAUGAUAUAUGAAAUAAUAAUGGCUUUAAAUAUCAACCACGGAAAGACGUUAAAAUAAUAUAAAAGAUAAAUGUAUUGAGAUGAUUUAGCCUGUUGACUUUCCACUGGAAGCGUUGUUUCUGAGGGAGGUUUGUGUUCCUGAUGUGCUGAGUGUGAACAGACAGAUGUGACGUCUCUUCGGCCGAUUCCUCUCCGUGAACUCGCUCAGCUUCCGGUGGUCGUCAACUUUUUCCCCAAAUUAAAUCAGCUCUUACAAAAUGUUCUGGCUUCAACGUCGAAUAAUUGGUCAGAAAAACAGCGUUGGUGUUUAAAGCGGAGAGGUUGAGCCUGAAACUCUCAACAGCCUGAAUCUGAAUCUCUGCAGCUUGAAUCUGAAUCUCUGCAGCC